GAUCAUGGCUCAGGAUGAACGCUAGCGAUAGGCUUAACACAUGCAAGUCGAGGGGUAACGUGUUGGAAGCUUGCUUCCGAUGACGACGACCGGCGGAUGGGUGCGUAACGCGUAUGCAACUUGCCUCACAGUGGAGAAUAACCCGGAGAAAUCCGGACUAAUGUUCCAUACACUCUUAAGUACGCCUGUACAUGAGAGGAAAGAUUUAUCGCUGUGAGAUAGGCAUGCGU
rnacentral:rRNA from 1 species